rnacentral:lncRNA from 1 species
AUCCUUGAAGGUAUGCUUAAAAAUAGUCUCUAGGUCUUCUUUGGAAGAGCUGGAAGACAACUAGGAGAAAGUCACCUAAACAACUAAAGUGCAAUGUAUGGAACCGACUGAUUCCAGAGAGAAGUGCUGGGGGAGGCUGCUGAAGAAAGUGAUCAACUGUAUGCACUAGCAAGGAAGGACAUCAUGGAACCUAUGUUUGAGUGACAUGUUAUGAAGGAGUGGUGGAGGUGGAGAAAUGGAGACCCAGACAGAAAGUGACUGAGCCGGGAUUCCAGCUGAGAAAACCUGACCCCACGGUCUGCAGUCCUACCUUUUAUGCGAACUGCUCUGAAAUUCCAAAAUACAUAACGUGAAAUGUGGGAUCCAUAAAUAAGGUCCC